GCUUCAAUAGCACAGUGGUAGUGCAGCACUCUUGUAAAGUGCAUGUCGUAGGUUCAAAUCCUACUUGAAGCU
rnacentral:tRNA from 1 species